CGUAAUUUAACAGUAAUAAUUCCUGUGCUUUUUUACGGAAGAAUUCAAUUAUCUUAUAAUUACGGAGCUUUUUCAGUAAAUUCAAACUGUGCGCGUGCGUAGUGUGUGAAAGCGACCAACGGUCGCUCUCUCCUCAACACACAAUUUCAUCUUCUCACCCUCUUUAUUGCAGUGGCACCUCUGUGGUAAAUAUCAUCCAUUUUUGUUCGCGUAGGUAAACUUGUAACUAAAAGACUACCAGCUAGUAUCACAAAGAUAAAUAAUCCCAUUUAGCGAAUUUAAUAUAGACAACGAAUUAACGUUAACCUACGAUGGCUGUGGGUUAGCGUUAGCUGUAGUCUAAAGCUUGCCACAGAUUUUCUGGACAGGCUAACUUUAGUGUUAGCGUUAGUGCUACUGUCGCUUCUUUGGUAGCUAAAUAUCGACGUAGUUUUGACACCGAUAAUCUUUGCUGCAAUGAAAGACUGAAAACAUGUGCAUUUUUACAUUCGAGGAGAAAAAACGUUCCCCAGAAUGGGCAGACUAAAAGCUAACAAGCUAGCUAACCCUAGAUACAGCUCAUCCAGCAGUAUCAGCUAGCGUUAGCUAAGUUACCUCAGGUCAGAGAACACCAACGGGACAAAUAGGAACAAAGACUGGCAGUCUGAUGUUUUCAUUUGUCCUUAAAUAUUCAAAAAAGACCUGACAAGCAAAAUAAACUGUGGUGAACGGGGAGAGAACACUCUAGAAUCUUUAAACUACCAAGCAUGGACAUGGCACACAAGCUGAACGUUUGUGUUUGCUGGUGUUUGUCCUGUCUGUGUACUCUGCACUGUACUCAAAUGGCCUGCUUGUUGUGUUGCGUUAUAAUGUGGGAGAGUUAAGGUUAGGGCAUAUACUCUCCAUUGUCAUUACAGAGGACAAGACAAUGUUUUUUAUGCUGAGAGAAAAAGUAGCUGAACUUAUUCCUAGCCUUGGAAUCUAUGAAAUUAAGGACAGUAUGAAUAAUAUUACAGGUCCAAAGCUAGAUGGUCUUGCAGAGUAUGUCCCUCACAAAUGUUUCCAUAGAGGUGCCAAAAUCUUUUUUCCACUUAAGCAUCGUUAUGUCGCUAUGGAUGCCAUCCAAGGUUUAAUCAGUGGAGCUCUGCCAUUGCUUGUGGGGAACCUCCUUGAUAAAGUGAUUGAAAGACUACAAGAAAUUGGUGUUUCCCAAAUCGAUGACCUAAAUUUGGUACAAUCGAAGAUCUUGAAGGUGUCCUGAAGCCAAUACAGUGUCGCAGGCUGAUUAAAGCAUUCUCUGCCGUGCAGUUUUGAGAUUGUGAAACCAAGUAAACCUUGCAGAAGAGCGCUCUAAAAAGGCCAAGUGGUGAAAGACUUCAUUCGAACAAGAGAAGCAACUGCUGGUGAAAAGAUGAACCAAGGACCUUUGGAAAUGCUAAGAUGCCUCACAAGUUACUUCAAGGAAGCAACUGUCCUGUUGGUUGCAGACAAGGAUGGCCAGAAAGAACUACCCAGCACUCCUUGCAUCAUUGUCAUUGGGUCUCCUGGGGAUCAACACUGAACGUGGCUCAAAAGCUGAAUCGAAGUGCAAGAAGCACUUCAAAAUCAAUCCUAAGCUUCUGAAAUUCCUGAAGGACCUCAGUGACUUUCAGAAUCCAUUCAAAAUUUAAAUGGACAAGGCAUUUGGAGCCCUCAGAUGCUGCACAAUGGACUCAUUUAACAAUUUGAAA